UGGCCUAUUCCCUACUCCUCAGGUCUUCUGCACACAGUCCAGGGGGUGAAAUGCACCAUUGCGGGCUCAGAGCUGGGGAGCCCCUCCAGGACCACCGGGUGCAAACCUCUCUGGUUACUGAUGAGGAAACUGAGCUCGAGAGUCUCUAAAGACCUCGUCUAAGGGAGCUGGUCAGCGGAGAGCACGGUGCUUUUGUACACAGCCAGGUGCCAGUCUUCUGGGACGCUCGUAAAAGGAGUUUGGGGAUCAGUGUGUGGUUUUGGGGGGCUCCCACCCACUCCCCGGUGCCUGUGGCUUUGCAGCCAGGACUUCAUGUUUGGCCCUGUCUGGGACUGCUGAUCCUAGAGUUCUCACAGCUCAUGGCUGAGGGUCCCCAAGCUUGUGUUCACCUUCUGGCUUUCUAGCCCCUUAAUCUUUUGCAAAUACUUGUAGGUCUAACUUGACCCCUUUGCAAGAGCUCGUUUCGUUCUUCACGUUUGAAAGAACAUGAAAGAGAGAAGGGACGGUGAGCUAUUUGUGGAACCGCAGCCCUAGAAAGCUCCUUAUCCGCUCCUUCUCCAGGCAAGACAACCAAUUGCAAGCCUCUGACCUCCUCCCUCUCCAGCCCCCAGUGGCCUCCGAGAGCCCCGUGAGCUGUGGAAACAAGGACUCCCAGAGGCCCAUCUCUGCAGGCACCUUCGUCACUGAGAGCCUCCACCUGGGCCAGUGGUGGGGGUGGGGAGAAUCAAGGAGCAGGAAGAGAAGUGAAGGGGCACUGCCAAGGAGCCCUCUGCUCUCUUCUUCAUCCUAGACCUGGGUAGUGCUGGCUUCCCCGCAGCCUUGCCUGGUGCGGCCCUGCAGCCAUCCACACCCUUUCUGAAGGACACAUCGGCCCAGAAAGAGAAGGAAGCGAGACAGGAAGUGACCUCAAUUGCCCUAGCCACAGAAAGGGCGGCUCCCCUGCCUCUGCAGCUGGAUGGAGUCUUGUUCUGUCACCCAGGCUGGAAUGCAGUGGCGCCGUCUCAGCUCACUGAAACCUCCGCCUCCCCAGUUCAAGUGAUUCUCCUGUCUCAGCCUCCU
rnacentral:lncRNA from 1 species